GGCAGCCAGAGAUAGCCAUUCACUUGUUCCCGUCGCCCCGUUGGCCCCUCCAUUCUGGUUUUCCCCUUCUUCCUCCUUCACCUAGGGUUAGGAUUUUUGGAUGGAAAAUUAAACCUUGGAUCCAUGGGAAAGGAGGCCCUCCCUCCUAGUGCCCUCUGGGCGAUUGAGUUGAUUUGUUUCGCAUCUUGUACAUCUCGUUUUUGCUUGUAGUUUUUGGUUUCCUCUUGUUGGCGGUGCUAUGCAGGGGCGGCUCUGGUUUUGGCGCUGAUCCUUUGAGCAAGCAGCACUGCAGGGAGCAGGUGCUUGGCUUGGCCUGGUGCGGCACAGGUGAGCAGCAUCAGGUGGGGCGCCCUCCACGGCUGGUGAGGCAGUCCGGCGGCACUAGCAGCAGCAUCCAACAAGAAGGACGAGCGGCUCUGGAGCAGGCAGCAGCCGUGUUGCCUCUUGAUUUGUUUCUCUCUUGCAGGUCUGAGUCAUGCGUGCGUGGGAAAUUAGGAAGUGGAAAGCUGGCUUGUGAUUGCAGCUAACCGGACACCGCCCUGCGCCAGCCUCAAGUUGACGACCGGCAGCCUGCUGGAGAAAUAAGCAUCUGCAGCAGCAACACAGUGUCGAGUCUUCAUCAACACCCUUGUACGCCCAGCCGCACGCAGCAGUGAUGCUCUCAGAUGCAUAUCUUGCAGCAUUUACAACCACAGAUCCAAGUCAUGACUCAGAGAUACGCAAAGCGAAACAUACAUGUCUGGGCAUGCAGUCUGAUUCUUGCCGCAAUCUUCCCAGCUAGGCACUUGCUCCGACCAUUCUCCCUGCAGCGUGGAUGAAGUGUGUCGAUAUAAUCCGCGACACCAUCGCCGUAGAAGUCGUCCUCGGCCGUCUGGAUAAUGUUGGCGUCCCAAACCUGACAAAAUGGUGCAGAAAACCAAGUUCCAGCUCGAAGGUUCCUUCAGAAAUCAGAAUCAUGGCAGUGUUUGAUUAGCACGAGAAGUAUGCUUACAUGGUGCAAGACAGUCUUCCUUCUGUACCAGUGGACGUCGAUGGUGUUCCCUCCUCUGUCAGAGGUGAACCCCACAUGAAGUGGCUGUAAAAUACAGCAGCAGUUGAGUGUGCAGAGUACAGGACAACAGCUUGAGUGAUGAACUACAGAGCAGAUCACAAUGGGCAGGGCAGGGCACGGUAAUCUUGUUCUAGGAUUUUUCUACCUGGUGGAUGUCGCCGAUGAAGUGUGAAAGGAACAGAAGCGCUUGCGUCAGGUUAUCUGAACUCCAGAGAAAGUUUUUUUUUU